GACGAACGCUGGCGGCGUGCCUAAUACAUGCAAGUCGAGCGAGCGGAACUAACAGAUUUACUUCGGUAUUGACGACAGGAGAGCGAGCGGCGGAUGGGUGAGUAACACGUGGGGAACCUGCCCCAUAGUCUGGGAUACCACUUGGAACCAGGUGCUAAUACCGGAUAAGAAAGCAGAUCGCAUGUUCAGCUUUUAAUAGGCGGCGAAAGCAUCAGCUAUGGGAUGGCCCCGCGGUGCAUUAGCUAGUUGGUAAGGUAAAGGCUUACCAAGGCGAGGAGGCAUAGCCGAGACGAGAGACUGAUCGGACAGAUUGGCAGAGAGACACGGCCGAAACACCUACGGGAGGCAGCAGUAGAGAAUCCUACGCGAUGGAGGAGAGUCUGAUGGAGCAAAGCCGCGGGAGGGAAGAAGGUGUACGGAUCGGAGAGUUCUGUUGUUGGUGGAGAAGGAAAGAGGUAGUAACUGGCCUGUAUUUGACGGUAAUCGGAGAAAAAGCCACGGCUAACUACGUG
rnacentral:rRNA from 1 species